AUUGAAAUACCUUAUCGUAAACUGUUAAUUCAAAUUAAUGAAAAUUCUUCGUACAGUAUUGUUUCCGUAGAAGAUAAGUUAGUCUCCUGGAUUGUAAAUAAGAGACAGAAAUUAGUGAUGAGUACGAUACUUUCCUUUUCAUUCAUUAUCGAUAUCCAAAUGGUUUCUAUUAGAUGAACAAUCACUAAUCAAAAAAACUUUGAAUACUAGAAUUCCUUAAAGUAUGUUCCAAUACGACUCUUGCGUAACCGGUUUUACAUUUCAUAUGGUCAAGGUCAAUUGAGGCCUGUAUAAUCGAUCCACAUUGCGGAAUCAACCGACGAAUUAAUAUACUACUUUUAUUUUGCAUUGUAUGUCGAUCUAAAAAGCCAGACGUCGUAUGUUGUUAUCGUAAAGAAGCUGAGAAAAAACAUGAUAUGCAAUGAAAAUAUUCUUCGCAUGAUGCAUUAUGGAAUUAGACAGUCAGGAGCCUGUCUUCGAAUCUUAUGGUAUCGCGCGAAUGUGUUGUUAGUAUUUAAAUGACUAACGACUAACGAUGUCACGAAACCUUUGAACUUUGAACUUUAGUUCCAGCCCGAUACACCGAAAUAGACAAGAAUUUUCUUUAUGUACACAAGAAAACAAAACCUUAAGCAGUUACUGCAAUGUCUUUCACUUAUUGAAUUUUGUUGGUAUUCUAUCACAAGCGAUUCGUUAGUAAACGUGUUAUGUCUUUCACGUGAUCGCCAUUUUGAUACAGGAAUAUGUAAAUAAAUAGCUUGUAAAUAGCUUGUAUAGUAAUGCUUUAAUAAAAACCGGUUUUAAGGUUGAGUUAUUUCCCCUUAGGCUGGAUUGUGUUCUGAUCGAGGAGCGACAGUUACAGAAACAAUUUUAUUUUUUUUGCAACAUAUUUCUGGUUUCUCAUAAUAUCCAUAUUCAAUUGUUGGAAUUUAAAUAUUAGCGAUACAUUUUUUAUCUAGAGAGAAACGUUCUUCGAAAUCAGUCCUUCCUACACUGGUUUUUCUUUUUUUCAUAAUAUUCCUGCCAUUUUAAAAUAUCGUUUAUUUAUAACAAUCUAAAUUUGGAGGAUCCCUUUGCAUUUAUAAUGAACUAUUUCCAAGAGGAACCUUUCUGUUAAAGAAGCAUUUAAAGAUAAUUAAGGAAUAGAAUUUACCACAGCUAUUUUACUGCCCAUUGUUGGGUUAGGUAUCUCAUGACUGGCGCAGGAGAGAAUGUUCUAGAAGAGUUUAGUCGUAGACUCAGGUCAAUGUUUUCUCUAAGGAUUCUACUUCUAUUAUGGCCGUUUUGAUUUUUUGUUUAGUGAUAUUAUCAUUCAAUAUUCAUGUAAUCCUGAAAGAAUAACGAUUCGCAAUGUUAAAAUAUUAUAUUAUAAAUGAUAAAGUAAUCGGAGCAUAUGCUGAUUUAAAUCCAAAAUAAGUAUACGUCCCUGUAUAUUUGCCGUAUCUGUAAUUAUUUCGCAUAAUUACUCAACUUCAGUUGUUUCACAAUUAAUUGUAUUCAUUCUCUCGCAUUGGCCUUGAGCACUAGUGCAAUUUAUAUCGGGCGCCAUUUCAUUGUUAGUUCUUUUUACGAAAUUUCUUUAAAAAAAAGAAUAGUUCCACUGACAAACUGUUACGUAUUGCAACAGAUAUUUUCACAGCUCUAACCCAAAUAGAUCUCCAAUUUAACGCUUUCUGAAUAAUUAAAGCGCAGAGGAAUUGCAAAGUGCGCAUAUAAAAUAAAUCCGUCAGAUCUCAGAUCGUCGUAAUGCAACAAAUGCUAUUGAUCGCAAAGACACACAAGAAAACUAGUUCUCGAAAUCUGUCCACUUAGCUAAUGACGUAAUGUAUAUCUAAAGAUUACUGGUUCCAAUCGAACGACUCGCUCAGUGGCCUUUUUUACUAGUAAAAUUGUCGAGCACGCUGUAAUUUCACCAACGAUACCAUUGGAAUUGAUCUUUGCCCGUACGAUUAUCUCGACCUGUUUCUGUGGCAUUGUCAGACGUGUGAUGUACGAGAUAACAUCCUGUUAUGCAACCGCAGCUAAUACAAUCAGCGAAAUUCCAAAAGUCCCUGGGGCUCCCAUUGCAGCAUCACAUUUUAAUCGACGGCACUGAAUAUUCGUUUGUAACGAAAAUGACUCUUCUCAAGGAUUGGUGGGACUCUCGUGAUGAUGACUCAGUGUCAGCAGAUAAAGCAAAUGUUGUUUUCAGUACUGUUUGCUAAAUCGCCAAGUGAAAGAGCCGCAUUAAAACUUACAAAACGGACAUUGCACUGCAUAUCAAAUGUCGAAUUAAGAAUGCAGAGAAAGACUAGUAAUUAAUUUGACUUAAUGACUAUAAAAUAAUCGUAUUUCUCUUAAUCACAACGAAGAACUUUCUGUUUGUAGAAAUUGCGAGCUCCCGCAGCUCACUCUUCAACGGAUACGACAUUCGCGAUAUCGAUGCAUCAUUAUUUAUUUCGCUGGGCACUGAUACGCAUGUCUCGCAGAUUACGCGUCAUGAUAUAAAGAGGGUUUCAAUUUUAUACGGCUUUUUUUUAAAAACGUCUGUAAUCUACCGAGGGAAAAACCGAUCGUUCUUCGUAUACAUUCCAGGAAAAAAAAAUACUCUCAUUUUUUCAUUAUCAGACACGUCGAACUGCGUGUGUUAUUUAAUAUUAUUUAUCGUAUUUGCUCCAUCUGAAUAAAAACAUGUGUCACGUUA